rnacentral:rRNA from 1 species
AGUUUGAUCAUGGCUCAGAACGAACGCUGGCGGCAGGCUUAACACAUGCAAGUCGAACGGUUGUAGCAAUACAGCAGUGGCGCACGGGUGAGUAACGCGUGGAUAUCUGCCUUUUGGUUCGGAAUAACUCCGGGAAACUGGAGCUAAUACCGGAUGGUUCCUGCGGGAUAAAGAUUUAUCGCCAAAAGAUGAGUCCGCGUACGAUUAGCUAGUUGGUGAGGUAAUGGCUCACCAAGGCGACGAUCGUUAGCUGGUCUGAGAGGACGAUCAGCCACACUGGGACUGAGACACGGCCCAGACUCCUACGGGAGGCAGCAGUGGGGAAUAUUGGACAAUGGGGGCAACCCUGAUCCAGCCAUGCCGCGUGAGUGAUGAAGGCCUUCGGGUUGUAAAGCUCUUUGGCGGGGACGAUGAUGACGGUACCCGCAGAAUAAGCCCCGGCUAACUUCGUG